CCUGCUGCCUCUGCCGCAAAUACGGAACUGUCUUGGUGGAUAGAAAAGGUAGCUUGGAAAACCGAGGAGGGGAUGGCAAUUCCGAUUGAUGUUCUCUCUGGUGUUUUUGAUGCGUUGACCCCCACCUGUAAGGAUGCGGGCCAGUGAAUUUGGCUCUCAGAUAGAAACAAGGUUUUAUAUGCCUCAGGCGGCAGUCCUGUUUGUUGGAAUAGCAGCUCACUGUCCCAGAGAUGGUGUUUCAGUGGUUUCCACACUGGUGGCGGAGGAACGUAUCAAUGUAGGUCAUGAAUCUGAAUUCCUGCUUUUCUUGUCCAGUCUGCUGCAUGGUAUUCAAAUGG
rnacentral:lncRNA from 1 species